rnacentral:lncRNA from 1 species
CGCAACACACCCUCUUUUUUUCUCUUUUCUCUAAACUCUCCGCCACCACCCUCUCUCUCCAUCACCGGCGAACCCUCCGAAACAACCAACAAAAGUAAAAAAUCGCCGAAAAAUCAACGCCCAAAACCCCACCGACAGCCUCUACUUCCGCUGCAAAAACCCUAACCAAAAUGACAACCGACACCGCAAUAACAACAACAAUCGUAGCCAGCCACCACUGGCCGACGAAUUACCUACCACCGGAUUCACCUCCGGUGCCUCCCUCUCCAUAUAACCGGUGAAACCAACAACAACAUCAGCCAGUCACACCCGCGCCGCCUCUGUUCUCCUUCGCGCUGUUGCCUUGUCGCUCCGAACUCCGGUCAAUUGAUGCCGGAAAAGAUUAAAACUCAUGACGGAUUUUUCAAAAUCCGUCUCAAGUUUGCUGUUUUGCUUAAAUUUUCUUCUUCU